rnacentral:rRNA from 1 species
AGUGGUGUUGGUGGGUAGGGGAGCGUCCUGCAUCCAGGGAAGCCACGGUGGAAACCAGUGGUGGAGGGUGUGGGAGUGAGAAUGCAGGCAUGAGUAGCGAUUGCAGAGUGAGAAUCUCUGCCGCCGGAUGACCAAGGGUUCCUGGGUCAAGUUUGUCUGCCCAGGGUGAGUCGGGACCUAAGGCGAGGCCGACAGGCGUAGUCGAUGGAUAACGGGUUGAUAUUCCCGUACCCGCGUAUGUUCGACAAGGACGAGGCGCAUGAUACUAACCACCCGAACUGGUCAGGGUCUUCGGAUCUGAAGCUGGGGAGCGUGGGGCCUGAGUGUGUAGUAGUUGAGUGAUGGGGUGACGCAGGAAGGUAGCCCCGCCAGCUGAUGGUUGCUGGUGUAAGCGUGUGGCCCGCACCAUAGGUAAAUCCGUGGUGCAUGAAGGGUGAGGCGUGAUGCGUAGCCGUUGUGGUGAAGUAGGGUGAUCCUCUGCUGCCGAGAAAAGCCUCUAGCGAGAACAUGUGCGGCCCGUACCCGAAACCGACACAGGUGGUCAGGUAGAGAAUACUAAGGCGUUCGGGUGAACUGUGGUUAAGGAACUCGGCAAAAUGCCCCCGUAACUUCGGGAGAAGGGGGGCCGAAACACCUGAAGCCCUUUGCGGGCUGGGGUGGGUUGGCCGCAGAGACCAGCGGAAAGCGACUGUUUACUAAAAACACAGGUCCAUGCGAAGAGGUAACUCGAGGUAUAUGGACUGACGCCUGCCCGGUGCUGGAACGUUAAGAGGACCGGUUAGCCUUUCGGGGCGAAGCUGAGAAUUUAAGCGCCAGUAAACGGCGGUGGUAACUAUAACCAUCCUAAGGUAGCGAAAUUCCUUGUCGGGUAAGUUCCGACCUGCACGAAUGGCGUAACGACUUUCCGGCUGUCUCAACCACAGGCCCGGUGAAAUUGCAGUACGAGUAAAGAUGCUCGUUUCGCGCGGCAGGACGGAAAGACCCCGGGACCUUUACUAUAGCUUGGUAUUGGUUUUCGGUUCGGUUUGUGUAGGAUAGGUGGGAGACUGUGAAGCCGGCACGCUAGUGUUGGUGGAGUCGUUGUUGAAAUACCACUCUGACCGGAUGGGAAAUCUCAACCUCGGACCGUGAUCCGGUUCAGGGACAGUGCCUGGUGGGUAGUUUAACUGGGGCGGUUGCCUCCCAAAGAGUAACGGAGGCGCCCAAAGGUUCCCUCAGCCUGGUUGGCAAUCAGGUGUUGAGUGUAAGUGCACAAGGGAGCUUGACUGUGAGACUGACGGGUCGAGCAGGGACGAAAGUCGGGACUAGUGAUCCGGCACCACCUGGUGGAAGGGGUGUCGCUCAACGGAUAAAAGGUACCCCGGGGAUAACAGGCUGAUCUUGCCCAAGAGUCCAUAUCGACGGCAUGGUUUGGCACCUCGAUGUCGGCUCGUCGCAUCCUGGGGCCGGAGUAGGUCCCAAGGGUUGGGCUGUUCGCCCAUUAAAGCGGCACGCGAGCUGGGUUUAGAACGUCGUGAGACAGUUCGGUCCCUAUCCGCCGCGCGCGCAGGAGACUUGAGGAAGGCUGUCCCUAGUACGAGAGGACCGGGACGGACGAACCUCUGGUAUGCCAGUUGUCCCGCCAGGGGCACGGCUGGUUAGCUACGUUCGGAAAGGAUAACCGCUGAAGGCAUCUAAGCGGGAAGCCUGUUCCAAGAUGAGGUCUCCCACCCCAAUGU